UCCAGACUGCAGACUGGAGACCCUCAGGAUCAGAGGAGGUGAGACGAUCAGAGCCACGAUCCAGAAGACCUGAACUCUGAGUCCUGCGGCAGGAAGCGGUCCUUCUCUCCAAGAACUCCUGGACCCAGGCCUGCAAGCUGGUCCAGAACCAGAGUCCAACCGGUCGACCUCGUAAAGUCAAACUAAACUACACAAUUAUUAAGGAUCAUGUUUAAAG